GAUGCGUGUGGUCAGACCUAG
rnacentral:miRNA from 1 species